rnacentral:rRNA from 1 species
AUACGUAGGGGGCAAGCGUUGUCCGGAAUGACUGGGCGUAAAGGGUGCGUAGGUGGUUUCUUAAGUCAGAGGUGAAAGGCUACGGCUCAACCGUAGUAAGCCUUUGAAACUGGGAAACUUGAGUGCAGGAGAGGAGAGUGGAAUUCCUAGUGUAGCGGUGAAAUGCGUAGAUAUUAGGAGGAACACCAGUGGCGAAGGCGGCUCUCUGGUCUGUAACUGACGCUGAGGCUCGAAAGCGUGGGGAGC